rnacentral:rRNA from 1 species
AACGAACGCUGGCGGCAUGCCUAACACAUGCAAGUCGAACGAGACCUCCGGGUCUAGUGGCGCACGGGUGCGUACCGCGUGGGAACCUACCCUUAGGUACGGAAUAACUCCCUGUAGGGGGUGCUAAUAACGGAUAAUGUCUUCGGACAAAAGAUUUAUCGCCUUUGGGUGGGCCCGCGUUGGUUUAGCCAGUUGGUAGGGUACAAGCCUAUCAAGGCGACGAUCCAUAGCUGGUCGGAGAGGAUGACCAGCAACACUGGGACUGAGACACGGCCCAGACUGCUAGGGAAGGCAGCAGUGUGUUAUAUUGGACGAGGGGCGCAGGCCUGAUACAGCAAUGCCGGGGAAGAGAGGAAGGGCUUAGGGUUGUGCAGCUCUUUGACCCGGAGUGUUAAUGACGGUACCGGGAGAAUAAGCACCGGCUAACUCCGUG